UUUCCCGGCGACCGAUAAGUUGCGGCUACUGUUCAACCCAAACGGGAGUUAUUCUAGGUGCUGCAAUGCAAUUGUAAUAACCAGUAAGCAGGUGUUUCAGUAUAGACAAUUGAUGAAAAAAAAUGUAACAGCACAAGCUUUUUUUUUUUUUUUUUAUUGGCACGACAUUCAUUUGUACAUUAUAAGUGUUGUAUUUCACCCCCUGAAAAGUCUAGUGGUCUUGUACGCCCAUAAUGUGUACAGUCAUUGUGUACGUUCAUUAAUAGGGGAUGACAAUAUGUCAGUUCCCUUUAUCAUGCUCAGUGAAUUCUUUCAAACAGCCCAUCUUGGAGCUCUUCCACACUGCCAUAACCAAGUGUUGCUUGGUUCUCCCCCAGCGUUUAAUCUGAAAGAAGA